rnacentral:rRNA from 1 species
AGUCGAGGGGUAUGCUUCUUCGGAAGCAGAGACCGGCGCACGGGUGCGUAACGCGUAUGCAAUCUACCUUUUACAGAGGGAUAGCCCAGAGAAAUUUGGAUUAAUACCUCAUAGUAUAGCAGUCUCGCAUGAGAUCACUAUUAAAGUCACAACGGUAAAAGAUGAGCAUGCGUCCCAUUAGCUAGUUGGUAAGGUAACGGCUUACCAAGGCUACGAUGGGUAGGGGUCCUGAGAGGGAGAUCCCCCACACUGGUACUGAGACACGGACCAGACUCCUACGGGAGGCAGCAGUGAGGAAUAUUGGACAAUGGGCGCAAGCCUGAUCCAGCCAUGCCGCGUGCAGGAUGACGGUCCUAUGGAUUGUAAACUGCUUUUAUACGAGAAGAAACACUCCAACGUGUUGGAGCUUGACGGUAUCGUAAGAAUAAGGAUCGGCUAACUCCGUGCCAGCAGCCGCGGUAAUACGGAGGAUCCAAGCGUUAUCCGGAAUCAUUGGGUUUAAAGGGUCCGUAGGCGGUUUAGUAAGUCAGUGGUGAAAGCCCAUCGCUCAACGGUGGAACGGCCAUUGAUACUGCUAAACUUGAAUUAUUAGGAAGUAACUAGAAUAUGUAGUGUAGCGGUGAAAUGCUUAGAGAUUACAUGGAAUA